rnacentral:misc_RNA from 1 species
UCCCUAUUCGACUUCCAUGGCCGCCCAGCUCCCAUGGACACCCAGAAAUUCCAGCAGCGAGCCCCCUUCCUCGCUGUUCGUCGUGGUGCCCACCGGCUGUUCGACAAAAUACGCAGCAAGCCGCGCGCUGCAGCAGCCCUCCCGUUCGAUCUCCACUCCCCUCGUCGUGUGUCGUCGCUCUCGUGCUCGCUGCGCAGCCCCAUCCAUGACGCCGUCGAAACCCGUGGACCGAGAGAUGACGAUCGUGCAAGUGAUGUGGUGCCACCCACAAGAUGCAGUCGGUGGACGACCCAAAGAAAGAUGGACAUAACCAAUGGAUGCUCGCCAAGCGAGUACCUUCCCCAACAAACACUACCUAAGUGUUAAAUUAAAGGUACUCCUUAGGAUGAUUGGUUGAUGGUAUGACUUGGCCUUCAUCCUUGCCACCGGGAUAGACGGUCAAGUGGGUUAUUGCUUCCGCAGGAGAGGACCAGGAGGAGUAGCGUGGCCAGGCUUCGCCAUGUUACUCGGUUUUCUCCGUUAGUUAUUUCCGUU